rnacentral:rRNA from 1 species
AUUGAACGCUGGCGGCAGGCCUAACACAUGCAAGUCGAACGAGUGGCGGACGGGUGAGUAAUGUCUGGGAAACUGCCUGAUGGAGGGGGAUAACUACUGGAAACGGUAGCUAAUACCGCAUACCCUCGGAUGUGCCCAGCUGGGAUUAGCUAGUAGGUGGGGUAACGGCUCAACUAGUCUACGUUCCCUAGCUGGUCUGAGAGGAUGACCAGCAACACUGGAACUGAGACACGGUCCAGACUCCUACGGGAGGCGGCAUUGGUGAAUAUUGCACAAUGGGCGCAAGCCUGAUGCAGCCAUGCCGCGUGUAUGAAGAAGGCCUUCGGGUUGUAAAGUACUUUCAGCGGGGAGGCGUUACCCGCAGAAGAAGCACCGGCUAACUCCGUGCCAGCAGCCGCGGUAAUUC